AGCUCCAAUAGCGUAUACUAAAGUUGUUGCAGUUAAAAGCUCGUAGUUGGAUUUCUGCGCGGGUGGGGCGCCCACUGUCCUAAGUGACGGGUUGGGCAGCAACGCCCGCGCAUCCUGUCGCGAACCACGCUACCAUUAGUUUGGUGGCGUUUUGGGGACCGACUCGUUUACUUUGAGAAAAAUAGAGUGUUCAAAGCAGGCAGCUCGCCUUGAAUAAUGUAGCAUGGAAUAAUGAUAAAGGACUUUGGUUCUAUUUUGUUGGUGUUCGGGACCGAAGUAAUGAUUGAUAGGGACAGUUGGGGGCGUCUGUAUUCUGAAGCGAGAGGUGAAAUUCUAAGACCUUCGGAAGACAAACAGCUGCGAAAGCGUUCGCCAAGGAUGUUCCCU
rnacentral:rRNA from 1 species